rnacentral:miRNA from 1 species
UGCCAAUUAUAGAGAUGACAUC